rnacentral:rRNA from 1 species
CCUACGGGUGGCAGCAGUGGGGAAUAUUGGACAAUGGGCGAAAGCCUGAUCCAGCCAUGCCGCGUGUGUGAAGAAGGCCUUCGGGUUGUAAAGCACUUUCAGUGGGGAAGAAAGCCUUGGGGCUAAUACCCUCGAGGAAGGACAUCACCCACAGAAGAAGCACCGGCUAACUCCGGGCCAGCAGCCGCGGUAAUACGGAGGGUGCGAGCGUUAAUCGGAAUUACUGGGCGUAAAGCGCGCGUAGGCGGUCUGAUAAGCCGGUUGUGAAAGCCCCGGGCUCAACCUGGGAACGGCAUCCGGAACUGUCAGGCUAGAGUGCAGGAGAGGAAGGUAGAAUUCCCGGUGUAGCAGUGAAAUGCGUAGAGAUCGGGAGGAAUACCAGUGGCGAAGGCGGCCUUCUGGACUGACACUGACGCUGAGGUGCGAAAGCGUGGGUAGCAAACAGGAUUAGAUACCCGUGUAGUC